rnacentral:lncRNA from 1 species
CUCAACAAUAUUGAAUAACCUUUUUGGAAGGGAGUGUAAGAUUUUAGCCCAAUUAUGUAUAUAGACCUAAUUGUGCUAAAAUAAAGUACAUAGGGAUUAAAAGAUAAUUUCACACACAAAACAUGAAUUGAAUCCAUCAACCUAACAAUGAUGAAUCAUGUGGAUGGACAUUGAAGGACGAUCAAAAGUGGCUAGAUCACAUGCAAUAUCAUGCACAGAAAGUUCAGUUAACCAAUCAAGUUGCUUUGCUUCCACCCAAAACCUUGUGAAAGGAAGCAAAAAAU